rnacentral:lncRNA from 1 species
UGAAUUACUGGGCCUCAAUUGUGUUUAAAUUGCUAGCACCAUCAGCUGUCGUAUUGAUCUUAGUUUCAGAGUCUCGAAGAGAAGCAGAGUCAAUGCUUUUGGUUCUUUGAAGGCUCGGGGCACGGUGUAACCUGCACCGGAAAGAACCAGCAUGGGAGGUUGGAGAGCAUAGGCAAUUGCUCUUUGUAGCGCUUGACUGUCUUUGAAGCCCAGAAGUAAACUUUGUGCCACCACUCGACAUUCUUUCAGUCUCUGAUGGAAUCUCUACCUUCAUGACCUUGUUGAAUAUCUGCCCUCUCUCCAUGCUUUUAGGUCCCGCAACCUGAGACUUGAGUCAAUGCCAUAUGAACAUAAGAAGGUAACAAGACUUGAUAUAAAUAAUUCAGGACUGGUAUAUAUUGACCUAUCAAACAAAAACUAUAAACGAAAUACUGAAUAUCUUGAACCACCGAAGGAUAUCCUGAUUAUAUGGCCAUGAAAGUUCUAUCAACGAACUUCUUGUUGCGU